GACAGAGGGUGCGAACGUUGUUCGGAAUUACUGGGCGUAAAGCGUGUGUAGGCGGCAGCGCAAGUCGGGCGUGAAAUUCCACGGCUCAACCGUGGAAGUGCACUCGAAACUGCGCAGCUAGAGUCCUGGAGAGGAAGGUGGAAUGCUUGGUGUAGAGGUGAAAUUCGUAGAUAUCAAGCGGAACACCGGUGGCGCAGGCGGCCUUCUGGACAGUGACUGACGCUGAGACACGAAAGCGUGGGGAGCAAACAGG
rnacentral:rRNA from 1 species